GUCCGCUAGAGGCGGGUACCGACAGCGUAGCUGCCGCUCCGCCGCCGCGGAACAGACACACGCUCGCAGUUUCUUUGGUUCGCUGCUGCCUGACUAUUGCGUGUCGCUCGUUUGUCCGACUGAUCGACCCGCGACCGGAAAAACGUAACCCACGAGUCGAUCUUCCAGUGUGCGGCCGGCUUUUGACCUCGUGGUCGCCCCAUCUGGCCGCGAAACGGCGAUUCUCGGGGGCGGCACGGGUCCCGCCCCCGACAGGAGUCGACUGGAGCGUCGUACUACCCGGAAAGUUCCCGCGGGAGCGGUCGCACACGGCACGGGGGCGAAGCCCCGCGCGACACGGGGCGAAAAGCGAACAGGUGCGACCGCGAGGCCCCCCGCACCGCGCCCGCCGCCGCCGCUCCGCGGCCCGAAGAAAACGAGAGAGACGAGAAGUCGGUCAGAUAUCGCGACCGAAUGACGUCGGGGUAGACCGUAGGUCAGGACGUCGACCGACGGGAACCAAUGGGAACGCCGUCCAUGCCAUAGUGCCCUAGUAUAGUGAUAUUUGUAAAAAUUACGUCCGUGCUGAAUAAAAGCUUUAAAUGUAUCAUUAGGGUGCGACGCACUCUUUUCUCAUGUAAAUAAAAACCUUGGGUAGUUACGCAUUGGUUUU